ACCCUCUCAGGGUCCCAUUUGGAGAGUUUCCAGUACUCUACCAGGCUCAGUUAUUGGAAGGAGAGUCAAGCAGAGGCCUACCCAUUCCAUUCCUAGCUUGGGCAGCGGCUAGCGAGCGGAAGGCAAUCUGCUACAAGU
rfam:Ornithorhynchus anatinus chromosome X1, whole genome shotgun sequence.